rnacentral:rRNA from 1 species
AAAGGUGGCUAUGCUACCGCUUUUGGAUGGGCCCGCGGCGCAUUAGCUAGUUGGUGGGGUAAAGGCUUACCAAGGCAAUGAUGCGUAGCCGAACUGAGAGGUUGAUCGGCCACAUUGGGACUGAGACACGGCCCAAACUCCUACGGGAGGCAGCAGUAGGGAAUCUUCCACAAUGGGCGAAAGCCUGAUGGAGCAACGCCGCGUGGGUGAAGAAGGUCUUCGGAUCGUAAAACCCUGUUGUUAGAGAAGAAAGUGCGUGAGAGUAACUGUUCACGUUUCGACGGUAUCUAACCAGAAAGCCACGGCUAACUACGUGCCAGCAGCCGCGGUAAUACGUAGGUGGCAAGCGUUAUCCGGAUUUAUUGGGCGUAAAGGGAACGCAGGCGGUCUUUUAAGUCUGAUGUGAAAGCCUUCGGCUUAACCGGAGUAGUGCAUUGGAAACUGGGAGACUUGAGUGCAGAAGAGGAGAGUGGAACUCCAUGUGUAGCGGUGAAAUGCGUAGAUAUAUGGAAGAACACCAGUGGCGAAAGCGGCUCUCUGGUCUGUAACUGACGCUGAGGUUCGAAAGCGUGGGUAGCAAACAGGAUUAGAUACCCUGGUAGUCCACGCCGUAAACGAUGAAUGCUAAGUGUUGGAG